GAGAAAAUUGGCCAGGGCGGGGAGAUGGAGGCUGUGUUCAGGCUGGUCCACGCUGGGUCACCCAUGUGACCUGCUGCUUAGCAAUUCUUUGUCACCAUCUUCCCUUCUCAGCCUCUUUUUCCAUGCUAAGAGGCAUAAAUGAAAUGAUAAAAGUUUGAGCUCUUCUCAUGGAAUUCUUGUGAUACAGAUAUGUGCUACAUGUUCACUAUCUCAUUGGUCUUCACCAUGAUAACUGUGGAGUAAGAAUUAUCAGCAGUUCGCAGAUUAUGGACUUGAGACUGACAGUUUGGCUUCCCUGUUCCAGGUGGCAAAGCCUGUGGGGUAUUCACCUACCUGCUGCAUGAAGGCAGCAUGGAGGGACUGUGGUGGAUUAUCUGCAAAGAUGGCCCAAAUUCUCUCAUCCCUGCAGGUACAUACAAGUUUUCUUAUGGCAAUACUUUGGUUUUUGCUUUGUGAAGAUGCCAGAAUCAGUCAAAACUAAGCUCACUGUCCUUGCUAAUAUUCUGCCCCAGAGGAGAACUGAAGCUCAGCUAUUCACCCUACAGAAAGCCUGAAUUUUGUAAAUGUUCUGCUUAGAAUGAGGAAGAAAGAUGAAGAAUGAGGAGGAAGAAGGGAGGAACAAGAGAGAGAGGUAAAGCCAACAAGCAGAACAGACCUACAUUUGCAGCAUCUCCAAGUUUCUGCAACAGC
rnacentral:lncRNA from 1 species